rnacentral:tRNA from 1 species
GGGCGCGUAGUGGAGUGGUUACCACGUUGGUCUUCGAUUUCAACCAAAGUUCGUCGGUUCGAUCCCGGCCGUGCUCG